GAACCACUGCAAAACAAUAACCAGGGAAUAAAUCCAUCGGGAAGAUGGUACAAAGGAUGAUUAGGUACAGGCAGGAACGCUAAAAAUUAUCAGUAUAAUGAUUGAAUAAAGGAUAACUGACAGGGAUGUAUUUUGUCAGGGAAAUCAGCAGGAAGCACCCCAAGUAGCAGGAUUGCUAUGACAGCCACUCAAGAGGAGAGGGAAAAUCUCUCCUCUUACUUCAUUUC
rnacentral:sRNA from 1 species